CUUUUUUAUAGACUGGAUUUAUAUAUUUAUAACUAAAAUUAGGUUAAAUUUUUUUUUUACAGAGUUAAAUAUUUAGAUUGAUGAAAGAUGUAUAAUAGUGACAGGGAUUAGAUACCCCAUUAAUGUACAUUGUAGCUUUGUCUUAGUUAAUAUAACUAAAAUAAUUUGGCAGUGAGCGACUCUUUUUAGGGGAAGGUGUGGUGUAAGGGAUGUUCCGCCUAAUAAUUUACUUUCGUUAUGUUGGUGUAUAUCUGGUUUAAUAUUAUCGUUGAGUAAGUGAGUUUGUGUAGUUUUAUUUAAGCCAAGUCUAUGUGCUGCUUAUGAAAGUAUUCAUGCGUUACAUUUAUAAGGUUUUGGUUGUAAUACUAAAAUAUUUAGGACUUAAAAGUAAUGUUCAAUAAGUUUGUGAGUGUGAAGUAAGUUUAGCUCAUGUACACACCGCCCGUCACCCUCGAUGCAUAUUGAGGUAAGUCGUAACAAGGUAAUU
rnacentral:rRNA from 1 species